rnacentral:piRNA from 1 species
UGAGGAGACAUGUGUGACUGUUCUUUGCU